AUGGAAACGAAACACAGCAUAAAAAGACGUUGUUCAAUUUUUAUUUUACACAUGAAUUAAUUGCACUUCAUGCACGGACCGUGGCAGCAGUUAAAAGUGUCAGCCCCCACCGUGGUUUGCUUUUCGUGUUCGAGGCGUCAGCACGCCCUACGCUCCCUCACGCAUUUAAAUUGUAUUAAUUACUCCGCGACCCAUAAUCACGGAAUUAUGUGAAGUCAAUAUAUUGUAUCAGAUGUUAGAGCAGUGGCUGUGUACAUAUUCUUAAGAGACGCCUGCUAAUCAAAGACACGAAAGCUGAGGAGAAACAAGAACGUCUUGUUGUGUAGACAGAACAAUUAUAACUUUGCAGUGAACAGAAAAUAACUGAGCCAUCAACUAUGUUGUUCAGAAAAUAAAUGCAUAGUUAGAGCAAUAAUAAGGAAUCGAGUUUACGCUAAAUAAACUAAGACAAUAGCCACCCAGCUUAACCACUGGACUACCGGAAACCAGGGACUUAUCCUGUAGAAGGAUGGUCAUGGAUUGUGUCUGAAUUUGACGAUAUUUAUUUGAUAGCAAGUUGUUGCCCUUCCUACUCCCCACAUUUGCGCACACAACAGAUACUUAAUAGUAAAAACUUAAUAGUAAAAUAGGUCUGGUGUAAUAUAUGUGUGUUACAGGUAGAAAUGAACAGUUGGACCUCAAUUACGCUGUAGUGCAUUGGAGGCUUCUAAACAACGCUGCGCCACCUGGUGGUUAAAACGAGACUAGCGUCCUGAUUUUUUUCAGCCAGCUGCAGGAUUCAAAAUCUUCAGUCAGCGACGCAGUCGCUGCACCGCGGCGAUGCGUCGGUACUGCAGUAAAAACGCUAGUCACUUUGAACUGCUACCACUGCAGCAGUUUCUCCUUGUUUUGGUUUAAUAAUAAUAAAUUAAAAUCAAAAAUCCAAGCAAACCAAAACACGUCACUUAGAACUACAUGAGAACGUUCUCUUCGUUUAUUGGUCAGAUGUGACGAAUCUCAUCUCAUCUCAUUUCAGGGGUCACAGUGCAGUUUUUUUGGUGCGCACUAGACAUACAUUAACCUAGAUCCAGUAGCUAUUACUGUGAGUAAGCACUUUAAAAGCAAAUGAACACUGGCAGUGUAAAGUCGUAACUCUGGGAAAGUACUCUGUACUCUGGAAUAUAUUCACUGAUUGAGUGUUAAAAUUAACUAUUUAAGUGUUAGACGGACACUGCUAAAUUUUCUGUGUGAAGAGCAGCUUCAGUGACAGGCAGAUUCAUCCUUCCUGUGUGAGAUUCCGCAGGUCUUUUCUCACUGCUGCAAUCAGACUCUGCAAUAAGCAAUGUUAAUUUUUUGGUAAACCUGAGCAAAAUAAUCCAUCCACCUCAUAAUGUUACAAUAAUCAUUAUGUGCAGUAAUCAUCAUCCACGUCAGUAUCUGCAUUUGUGUGUGUUUUUCUUUUAUGUUCAUUACUUAUACUGAGUUGUUGUAAGAAGAAACUUUCUUGCUGUGGGACUAAUAAAGGCAUUGCUAUUCUUAUUCUUAUUAUUCUUAUUCCUAAAGCUGAGUAAACAGUUUUUAAACAGAUUCAGGUCUGCUGCAGCCUAUCCCAUUUCUCAUUUGGGUGAGAGAUAGAGUACACAGAGGCUGCUAUUCUAUGCCAAUAUUCAAUGCACAAUAUAUAAAAUGCAAACUUCAUAAAGUAAGGCACCUGGGUACCACAAUGAUAACCACCUCCCUUCACCUUAGAACACUGGUAUAAAAUGUACUUUUAAUUGAUAUGUAAAAAAUUAGUUGGAAACAUUACUCUCUUUGUGUUUUUUUCCAGCUGCCAUCAAAAUGAUAAAAUUCUUAUUGCAAAACCUACCUGUUUGGCUACAUUUCAACAAAUAAACAAGGACCAUUUAAAUACCUCAAUCACACCCUUACAAUGACAAAACAGUAGCAAGUGAGGUAGUGAUUGGAAACCAUUGCCCCUGAGAAAUUGGUUAAGAUGCCUUGGGAAUGCUGCACACUUUUUGCAGCAGGUCAUAUAAAGGUGCCUCAGCUAACUACACCUCAGGCCUGUUAGGGCAAUUUGAUGGUUUAGACCGUAAUGGUAAUAUAACAAAAAUCUAGUCCAAAUAUCCUAAUGUCCUCACCCUCUCUCUAGCUCUAACCCCACCUUUAAACUAACUUCAAGUAAUUUUCUCUACAAAAAACAUUUACUGCAAAUGGUGACCUUUGAUAUAUAUGUGGUAAUCAAUCAAUAUUGUUUACUUUGUUUCAAAUACCCUCACCAAUCAGUGAGGUCUUUUAAAAUAUUCACAUGGCACCUGUGAAGUACUCUGACAGAGGACAGCAUUUCCAUGGCAACUACAUCAUUACCAGAAUAGCUUUUUCUUUCACCCACUCCCUCUGUGCAUUUGUUGCUGCCCCUGCUCUCUCUGUUUUCUAUUUUCUAUUUCUUUGCUGGUACAUAUAUCUCUAUUAUCAUUUUCUCUGCUCACUCCUUUUCUUCAUUUCCUCUUUCACUAUUUUUCUAUCCUCCGUUCUUGGCUACGUUUCCCAUUUUUUUUCGUUACUUUCUUCCAGCUCUUCACCACCUCCUUUCUGUUUUGCAGUCACAUGUCUGUCUGUGCCGUGCAUGUGGGUCCGCCGCCUUUGACGUUCUGACAACAUCCCUGUCCCACCGGCCCUCUGAGCAGAAUUUGAGCAACCUGACAGAAAGGAGGUCAUUAAUGUCAUGCCAAGAUUUAACAAACCAGCAGCAUAAAAGCUAAGUUGAAAACGUGUUUGCUCCAAACACCAUUAAUACUGAUUUAACUACCUGUAUAUAUUGUUUACAUUUGUGAAGGUUGUAAGAUACAUAGGAAAUACUGGACAUUUCAUUAAUCUGCUAUUCUAUUCUCUAUACCUUCUAGAGUGGUGUCAAGGAAAACAUCAAUUUUCUGUACAGCAGCUGCACUGCUUCCAAUGUCUUCCAAAACCUGAUGAAGAAAAAAAAAUCGUCACAUUUCCCCAGGCAACUGCUCAUGACUGUACCUGUUCCACUCCAGAAACUAUGCAUUCAGCAUAACUAUGAAUCAUACCUGUUCAUUUUGUGGUCUGCAAAUUGAACUGUGACGGUAACUUAUCCAGCAUUAUAGUGCUGGUGCAUUGGUUAAAAAUAAAGUUGGCUUUGACUAUUGCUGUUUCACUGAACUAUUUUUGUAUGUAUAUACCUAAUGAGGGAAAACAGACAAAUGUUUUAUAAUAUUUCAACUUUUAUUGAGGUAUUGCCACAAAAACAAUAAUUUAGGCAUUUCACAGGUGGUCUAAGUCCAACAUAGGACCCUUUUCCCUCAGGAAACACUGCCCUGAUCCAGACCAGGGAAGGUAGGAUGACAGCUUGGACACUUCACCCUAGAAGUCCCCAGCACCAGCUAACAAGACUUCUAGGCUAGAUACCUGCAACGACUUAAGAUACACACAGACACAGUACUGACAAAUUUAUGAAGAAAAAACAAUAACUACAUUUCUAUUAGUUAUAUAUUAGCACUUGAUAUAUCAUACACCCUACUAAAAACAAUUCAAAAUAUAUUAGGUCAAUAUAUAUUUAGAAACAAAAUUAUGUUUGUAAACCAGAGUUCCCAGGUACAUUAUGAAUAAUCUGUAAAGAGUAAAAUGUUCUAAAAUUGUUUAUGAAUUUCUGAGAUAAUGAUUUAUUCCAUGCAUGUGUAAUUGUCUGAUAUACUGUAUAUUAAAUGUGUUCUGUAAUGAAUACACUGUUGGGGGACCUCAUCUGUAUAAUCUGUUAUUAACAGAAUUAUUAUUAAGGUCCCACAUGCUCAAACAAAGGAGGCAUUGCGGCCUGCAUGUAAUGUCUUCAUCCUGAUAGUAGUGAGUGAGAACAAAGAGAUUUCAAACCUGAGUGCCAAAACCAGGCGCCAGGCUGGAGAACCAUACCUGGCAACCCGCUGAGACAUCCAACUCCUGCUGAUAAAAGCGACAAACGGAGGAGAAACUUGGAAAUCAGCCAUCCUGAUUGGAUCACACAAUAGGAGGGGCGUGACCAAAAACACGGUUAUAAAAGCCGCUGUGACCAAAGAUUCGUCCCUUGUUCUCUUCGACCCUCUCCUCAAAUCUUCAAGACCACUGCAGACCCUUCUUCUCUCCGUCCACCUGGAGCUUCCCUCUGCACCGGCACGCCUGGAGCCUCCACCGCAGCCAGCAGCUGAACUAACGGGGACGUCGUCACAGAGAACGGGCCUGAUCACCCAUCUACUUCCAGCCAUCCGGCAGGGAACCGCCAGCUUAACUGGCUCACCCGCCGCCGCAUCAGCUGAUCACGACGCGAUCACCGCACCGGUCCGCACAUCUGGACCGGACCGGACCACAACAACGCAAGCGCUCUCCCCCCUCCUUUCUCUUCCUCUCUCUCUCUCUCUCUCUCUCUCUUUCUCUCUCUCUCUCACACACACUCACACACACACACCCCUCUUAUCUCAGGUAACGCGCCUACACAUACAGUACUUCCAGACAAACACGAAGAUUAAGUUGUGAUUUGCUGAGUUAUUCAAGAUAGUAUUGACACUAGAGUUAAUAUUAAUUGUUUUAAAAAGCGUUAUUUAAUUGGUCGUUGUCUGUGAUUAUCUGUAUAUGGUUUUACAGCACUGGUAAAUUGAGUCGGCUAUGGUACGGAGCUCAUCCAUCAACCAACUUAAAUACAAUUGAGACUGUAUUGGCUAUUCCAAAUUGGUUAUUGGUCCCUGGCAACAGGGUGGUGCCCCAUAAAUUAAGUAAUUAUUAAUUCCAUUAAUAAUUAUUAAAUCAAUAAUAGUUAAGUGUUUCACUUACCAAACUAUAGACUUUGUAUAUAUAGUUAUAGUUGUAGUUAUAUAUAUAGUUAUAUAUAUUUAAGCUAAUAACCAAGUUUUGUGAAUCACAAAUUAAAACAUAAUUGGUAUCUCCACUCAAGAGCUAUAAAUCCAAUUAUUAUAAUUUGUGCUCCUCACAUAUCCCCAACACAAUUGGUGCAAACCUGUGAGGUUAAUCAAACUCAGCCCUUUCUGAGACUUGGCUAAUUCACUUGGCACUACCACCACCCUCACAUUGCCCCAACAACACAUUCAAUCAUUCUGGCUCCAGUCCUGGAUCCUCAACCAUACAUGACAGUAGAUUUGGCAACUGGUUCAGGCGUCUUGAGGUAAGAUUUAUCAAAAUUUUUAUUUAAUUUAUUAAUAAAGGUAAUAAACACGUGCAAUAUCUUGACAGCAACAGUUGUGGUCACACCAUGCCUCUGUAGGCAUUCACUGUUCCCACAUUGGCACUUAGCAGAACGAGAAAGAAAAAAACAUGUAAAAAUGAAGUUAUAUUAGUUUAUCGAACCAUGGUCCCAAACUAGCUGUAGACGUGGUAUGAAUAUUCUGUUGUAUUAAUUCAGGCUGCUUAUUGGCAACCAUUGGUAUUAGCGUUAGCAGCUAAUCAAGUUGCAUAUUAUAUAAAUCAAUAAAUUAAAUGUGAAUCUGCCAGUUAGACGUACCUUGUGCCAGUCGAAGUGUAACCACUUCAACAGCCUCCCAUUCGACUUCAGAUUCAGAUUUUGGAUCAAACAUAUGGUUGAACUCCACUAUGAGGACGCGAUGGAUCACGGCUAUGCGCUUCCUCAAAAGGGCGUGGCAAUCAACUUCGCUUGCGACACACUCCAAAAAUAGAGCGUUGUGGAUGAGAGCUUAAAACACACGUUUUCAGACGGGCCGUGUGGGCGAUCUACAGCGCUUUUUGGCAUGAAAAGUUACAGACACCUUACUGAGACAUCAAGGUCCAAUUCUUUAGUAUUGUGGAGCAUGAAAAAAGCGUGUGCAUGGACCUUUAAAUUGAAAUUAUUAUUAUUAUUUAUUAGCUUUAAUGUAAACACAGCUUUAAUGUAAACACAGUUGUUCAUGCCAAAGAAAACACAAGGCUAAGAGAACUCAGUGAGGUUCUCAUCAAGCUUCUGUUGGCUAAAAAUGAAGGUUAUUUUCCUGGCCUGGCAUAUCUUGACAUUACUAGGGGGAUAAAGCCCAUAGAUUACAAAUUACCUCCAGGCCUACAGCAGAAAUGUUUUUUUCAGGCUCUCGGUACAAAAAAGAACGUGGUGUUACUUUCCCGCCCUCUCCGUUCUUUGUGGACUUUGUUUAUGCCCAGGCAAAAGCAAGAAAUGAUCCAAGUUUCACUCUAUCAAAAACUUUCCGGACUUCCACCAAAAAAUAAGACAGAUGUUUCAGCAACCACUAACACAGACCAAAAGGACGUUCCCAUACGGCACUGCCCUGUCCACAAUAAAAAUCAUCCUGUAGCUAAAUGUAGAGCCUUCAGGGCGAAACCAUUGUUGGAAAGAAAAAACAUCCUAAAAGAAGACAAGCGAUUCUUUAGGUGUUGCUCGCCAAACCACCUGGCUAGACACUGUGUAGUGAGUCUAAAAUGUGGCGCGUAUGAAAGUGAGAGGCACUUCUCCGCGAUGCACCCUGACACCUCUCAAAAACCACAUUGCCCCUGUCUAGACCAGGUGCCGAUCCACAGGAUGGUGGUCGACCUGAGGUAACGUCACAAUAUACUGAAGUCUGCGGUGAGAGUUGAAUUUCCUUGGUCUUGCUCCAAGGUGUGUUUGGUACGGGUCUUUUCUCGGGGACAGCCAGAGCGCUCCGUCAAGAUGUGUGCAAUCCUUGACGAUCAAAGCAACCGAUCACUGGCUCAUUCUGAGUUUUUCCACCUGUUUAGGAUCGAAGGUAACCCAUCAUCAUAUCUGAUGAAGAUGUGGGCUGGUACAGUGGAGAUGACAGACAGAAAAGUAGUCUGUUUACAGAUUGAAACAACAGAUGAAAGUGUGUGCCUGGAUCUCCCGCCCCUCAUCGAGUGUAAUGAAAUAAUGACUAACAGAACUGAAAUACCGACACCAGAAGUCGCUCUUGCACACCCCCACUUGAAACACAUUGCCUCUCACAUCCCCGGGCUAGAUGUUGAUGCUGAUAUGAUGAUUCUGCUGGGGUGAGACAUAAUAAGAGUGCAUAAAGUAAGGCAACAGGCGAACAUGCCCUUUGCUCAGUGUCUUGACUUGGGUUGGCUAAUCGUAGGUGAGGUGUGUAUCAACAAUGCUCACAAGCCGACUGCAAAACUUGCAAAACUCACAUACUGUGGAAUGGAUGCCCGUCCCUCCUCAUUCCUUACCAUAACAGCAUUGGUGUGAUAGAGUGUGGUAAAUUCUGUCUCUCUUAUGGGGUUAUUUCUGUCCAUUGCAGGUUGGCCACUAAAACAAAUAAGUUGCUGCAGCUAUGUAAACAUGGACUUUCGAUGGACAAGUAGGCACUUGUUGGUUGCAUAAACAACACAGCUUUAAAAAGUGGGCAUUGGGAGAUGUUUCUUAAAGUGCCUCGCAGAGGGUCUGCUGCAGACACCCAGCUGACCUUUUUUGACCUCUUAGUUUGUUCUGCAGACGAACCUCCAGGUGAAUUCGGCCAACACCUCUCUCAUGAAUAUUCUGUGAUUGUACUGUUUCAUUAUAUGUAAUAAAUUCAUGUGUUAAUUUGAGCAUAAAAGUUGAGUCCGUGUGAAAUCUCUCAUGUUUUAAAACCCACACCUGUCAAAGAAAAGCUGGGGCUCAAGCUGUUUGUGUGUACUGAGAACGACUAUAAAUAUGCCAUGUCAUGUGAAGACAAAGCCUUGCUUAGUAUUUUGCGGAAAGAGGUUCAUCAGGAUGAUGUGUGUGUACCACCCGUUCAAGACAGCCAAGAAUGCUGGUACCUGCCCAUGUUCGGAAUGUAUCACCCACAUGACCCCGGACAGGUAAGGGUCGUGUUCGACUCAAGUGCCCAACAUCAUGUCUCUCAACUCAGUGCUACUGAAAGGGCCUGAUUUAAACAACACCCUCCUAGGCGUGCUACUGUGGUUCAAAAAGGAACUUGUCACUGCUGAUAUCCAGCAAAUGUUUUACGAGUUCCUAGUGAGACAUGACCACAGAGACUACUUAAGAUUUUUAUGGCAUAAGGACAAUGAUCUGUCAAAGGAGGUCUAGGAGUUUCACAUGUGCGUGCAUGUAUUUGGUAACAUUCCAUCGCCGGCUGUAGCAAUCCACUGUCUUCGAAGAGCUGCUGAUAAAGGUGAACAGGAGUUUGGAGCAGAUACAAGACGUUUUGUGGAGAGACAUUUCUACGUGGAUGACGGCCUGAUAUUGGUGCCUACAAAGUCUGCAGCUAUAGAGCUACUUAAGCGUACCUGUACAUCGCUUGCAGAGGCAAACCUGAGGCUGCACAAAAUCGCAUCAAGGACUUAGGUCUGAACGAUGAAACUUUGCCAACUCAAAGAAGCCUGGGUUUGUGUUAGGACAUAAACACGGACACCUUCUCCUUUAGGGUCGCUGUUGCAGACAAGCCAUACACAUACCGUGGAGCGCUCUCAGUCAUUAACAGUAUCUUCAACGCUUUGGGACUAGCAGUGCGAGUGACAAUCAGAGUGGAGAAUGGAGUUCAGGAUUGGGAUACUCUUCUUUCUGAGGACAAAAAGAGUAGUUGGGAGAUGUUGAAAUCAUCACUUUAAUCAAUCACUUCAAAAGCUCAGUAGUCUUCACUUGCCUCGCUGCUACACGUCAGCGUCACUCUCAAAAGCCAGAUACACAGAAUUGUGUCUCUUUUCUGAUGCAUCAAACUGGGCUGUCAUUGAGAAUGGCCACUGUGAAGUUGGCUUCGUGUUUCUUGCAGUCGAGAUGGCAGAGCUCAUCAUGGAUGAACUAGACCUGUUAUGGGAAAAAUUGUCUCUUCCUUAUUUUUAUGUGUCUUCCUUAUUUCUAUGCAUUUCUAUGCAGUUAUUAUACGAUUUAUGACUUAUGUUCUGCAAUUAAUAUCUUAUGUUUUGUCUUACUGUAUGCAUUUGACAUUUCACCUACAUUGUUCAAUGGUUGUCUCUGCCUGAUAGACUCUCAACUCUAGCUCCCAAACCCAAGGUCGGGGAGUUGUGUCUCUGUCUGUUGAGACUUGGUGCUCCUUUCUCACAGAUAGUUGGACGUCAGCGACGCAGGUGUGAGAAAGUAAAAAUCUUCACACACACUGCGACAGGGAGGAGAUGGUGCAUGUAAUUUGAUUGGGUUAGAAAGACAUUCCACCCUAGUCGGACAGAGAAGCUAAAAGGCAGAAGCAACUUGAGGAUCGUGGGCUCUUUGCAUCACACCUUCGUGGUGUGUGCACUGAUCUCCCCAGCUGGUUUUUGGUUUGUUGAUGUGCACGAUCAACAUCCAUGCUUUUUAUUUGCUUUCCCCAUUAUUUUUAUUUUCUUUAUUAUUUCAAUAAAUCGCACAAAAGGACAA